rnacentral:snoRNA from 1 species
GUCCAAGGUGAUUCCCUCUCCAAGGGGCCACCUAAUGCCCCUCUCAAGAAAGUAGCAACUUGGAAUAAAACCUGGCAAGCCCAGGGUUUUCCAGAGAGAGGGGAUGAUUUUCCUUUUGCCUUCCUUUGGCUGCCUACAUGC